rnacentral:rRNA from 1 species
CCUACGGGAGGCAGCAGUAGGGAAUAUUGCUCAAUGGGGGAAACCCUGAAGCAGCAACGCCGCGUGGAGGAUGACACUUUUCGGAGCGUAAACUCCUUUUCUUGGGAAAGAAUUAUGACGGUACCCAAGGAAUAAGCACCGGCUAACUCCGUGCCAGCAGCCGCGGUAAUACGGAGGGUGCAAGCGUUACUCGGAAUCACUGGGCGUAAAGGACGCGUAGGCGGAUUAUCAAGUCUCUUGUGAAAUCUAACGGCUUAACCGUUAAACUGCUUGGGAAACUGAUAAUCUAGAGUAAGGGAGAGGCAGAUGGAAUUCUUGGUGUAGGGGUAAAAUCCGUAGAGAUCAAGAAGAAUACCCAUUGCGAAAGCGAUCUGCUGGAACUUAACUGACGCUAAUGCGUGAAAGCGUGGGGAGCAAACAGGAUUAGAUACCCCAGUAGUC